rnacentral:rRNA from 1 species
GGACCCGCACAAGCAGCGGAGCAUGUGGUUUAAUUCGAUGCAACGCGAAGAACCUUACCAGGGCUUGACAUCCCUCUGACAGGUCUGUAAAAGGACCCUUCUUCGGACAGAGGAGACAGGUGGUGCAUGGUUGUCGUCAGCUCGUGUCGUGAGAUGUUGGGUUAAGUCCCGCAACGAGCGCAACCCUUGUCUUUAGUUGUCAUCAGAUAGAGCUGGGCACUCUAAAGAGACUGCCGGGGACAACUCGGAGGAAGGUGGGGAUGAGGUCAAAUCAUCAUGCCCCUUAUGUUCUGGGCUACACACGUGCUACAAUGGCCGGUACAGAGAGAACCAAUACAGCGAUGUGGAGGAAAUCACCAAAACCGGUCCCAGUUCGGAUUGCAGGCUGAAACCCGCCUGCAUGAAGUCGGAGUUGCUAGUAAUCGCGGAUCAGAAUGCCG